rnacentral:rRNA from 1 species
AUGAGUCUACCGCUUACAAGAAAAGAUCUCAUGAUAGUCAAUAUGGGCCCUCAACACCCAUCAAUGCAUGGUGUUCUUCGACUGAUUGUUACUCUCGAUGGUGAGGAUGUUAUUGAUUGUGAACCCAUAUUAGGCUAUUUACACAGAGGAAUGGAAAAAAUCACGGAAAACCGAACUAUUAUACAAUACUUACCUUAUGUAACAAGGUGGGAUUAUUUAGCUACUAUGUUUACAGAAGCAAUAACAGUAAAUGCACCAGAAUUCUUGGAGAAUAUUCAAAUACCACAAAGAGCCAGCUAUAUUAGGGUAAUUAUGUUAGAAUUAAGCCGGAUAGCUUCUCACUUGCUAUGGCUUGGACCUUUUAUGGCGGAUCUCGGCGCACAGAUUCCUUUUUUCUAUAUUUUUAGAGAGAGAGAAUUAAUAUAUGAUCUAUUUGAAGCUGCUACAGGUAUGCGAAUGAUGCACAAUUACUUUCGCAUCGGAGGAGUAGCCGCCGAUCUACCUUAUGGAUGGAUCGAGAAAUGUUUAGAUUUCUGUGAUUAUUUUUUACGCGGAGUUGUUGAAUAUCAACAACUUAUUACACAGAAUCCAAUUUUUUUAGAGCGAGUUGAAGGAGUAGGUUUUAUUAGCGGAGAAGAAGCAGUAAAUUGGGGCUUAUCGAGACCGAUGUUACGAGCUUCUGGAAUACAAUGGGAUCUUCGUAAAGUAGAUCCUUAUGAGUCUUACAACCAAUUUGAUUGGAAAGUCCAAUGGCAAAAAGAAGGUGAUUCGUUAGCUCGCUAUUUAGUACGAGUUGGUGAAAUGAGGGAAUCCAUCAAAAUAAUUCAACAAGCUGUAGAAAAAAUUCCUGGAGGACCUUAUGAGAAUUUAGAAGUCCGACGCUUUAAGAAAGAAAAGAAUUCUGAAUGGAAUGAUUUUGAGUAUAAAUUUCUUGGUAAAAAACCUCCCAAUUUUGAAUUGUCAAGAGAAGAGCUUUAUGUAAGAGUAGAAGCCCCAAAAGGUGAAUUAGGGAUUUAUCUAGUAGGAGAUGAUAGCCUUUUCCCCUGGAGAUGGAAAAUCCGUCCACCCGGGUUUAUUAAUUUGCAAAUUCUUCCUCACCUAGUUAAAAAAAUGAAAUUGGCUGAUAUCAUGACGAUAUUAGGUAGUAUAGAUAUCAUUAUGGGGGAAGUUGAUCGUUGA